rnacentral:lncRNA from 1 species
CAAGCUCUUCUCAGUUCAGUGCCAUAUGCAUUUUUUAAGCACCUGCAACCUUGGGCCCCUCAUAGAGCCAUGUGCUAUGGGGCAUGCGGAAGUGAAUCCAAACUGUUCCACCCACCAAGAUGCUGAGUCUUGGAUAGGAGACAGCAUAUAUGGAGUUAGCUUUGACUGGAGCCAGAGAGUGGCCCUGGGCAGGAGUUGGCACAUUUUCCUCUGUGCACAGAUCUUCCCCGUGCCAGGCUUACAAAAGGAAGUUUCCGGAGCUGAGCAGCUUUUCAGGAGCUCCAUGGCCAGUUCACCUCCCCAUUCUGACACCUAACGCCGUGAGGCUCCGUCCUUGAAGAGAUGUAACAUGUUCUGGAGAAGAUGUCAAGGGUCACUUCGAAGUGUGCACAGAUUCUGCUCACAAUCUCGAGACACAGCAAACUCUCCCCACCCGAGAAGAGGAUGGGAUGAGGCACACUGAAGAGGAAAGAAAACUGAUCCUGUAGCCACAGAAAAACAGGACUGAGACCAGGAAGGGCAAGUCGUGUGUGUCAGCAUUGUGGACCUUUAUAUAAAUAAUAAUUUUCCAGUGGGAACUGUGAUCUCUUCUUGUCUCUUCUAUUUUUAAAUGCUAAUUACUUCUGAUUUUGUUUACGUAGGCGGAGCUAAUAAGAACAUUUGCUUCAUAACCAUUGAACCUAAUGUAUCUGUUUUUGGACACUGGUGAUUUAUUUUUGCACACAUGCUCCAAAUUGGUGCUAAUUACUUUAAAGGAUCAGAGUUUCUAUUCCAAGAGGGAUGACGACAGAAUGUCAAUUUGGAGUCUCUGAGCAUAAUGUCCCAAUUAUCAAUGCAUUCCAGACCAGAAUGGACUUGGCACCUUCUUGAAGGGAUUUGGCUUCACUUUUAUCAGCCAGUCCCUGGUUGUAGCUUCAUUAAAACUUGCUUUCUAGUAACUUGUGGAUGUGCCUAUACUUUUCUCUGUCUCAAAGACCCUUCAGUGUCAUAUCAGUAUCCUGAAUACCUACCUUUUCAUUUCCAGAUCAAAUACUUCUCCCUCUGAGCCUUUUUUGAUCUCUUUGGCCCAAGAUAAUUUUAAUUCCUAAGAUUUUCUGAUUCCUUUCUUAAAGAGGUUAGCACUUUCUACAUUGUAUUGUAAUCAUUUGCUGUUACAUUCUUACCUCCUUUCUAACAGAUAAGCCCCUUAGUGACAAUACCUUAUCUGAAUUAUCUUUGUCCCCACUGCACACUGAAACUUCUCCUGGUGCCCUGUACAUAAUAAGUGCUUUACACAUUGAUUUAAUUGCGGUUUGUUUAUAAUAUCCUACAUGCUCCAGAAAGAUUUUAAGGUAGAUUUAAAUAAAUAUUUAUGCAACAAAGGAAUGAAUACAUCUAUACGCACACAGAAUUACUAAAGUCUAUAAUCAAUAUAUGAAGUAUAACUACACAGUACAAAAUUUAACCAUCAUACCUAAAAGAAAAACAAACACGAUGCUGUGGGGAAUGCUUGAGAGGUAGUAACAAAGGCUUUAAAUCUUAAUGACCACCAAAGUAACCCACAUUCCUGAUAUGGUAUUUGCUCAACAUGAAUGUUUAGAUGAACAGGAGAUGAAAACUAUCUGAAGUGAGGGGAGGGGGUGUCACUGACUACACAGAAUAAAUAUGGAGCAUAUUGUGACCAAGAAGAUAUGGCCACAGAGGAAAAAGAGCAAAACAGGUCCAUCCUAAUUUGUUCAUUUACCGUUCACUUAUUCAUCCCACAAACUUGUAUGGAGAAGCCCCUAUGUCAAAUGCUAUGCUUGCACUGUGGAUGCAAAGGUAAAUAAAAACAUCCUAGUUUAGCUGUUUAGACCAGGGGUCAGCAAACUAUGGCCAAUGGGCCAUCUCCGGAUCACUGUUUGUUUUAUAAAUAAAGUUUUAUUGGAAU